rnacentral:lncRNA from 1 species
AGUUGAUAACUAAAGUAAUACAGCUUUUGAAUGUACAUGCAUGGCUUGUUAUUAUUUCACAGAUAUAUGGUGUGCACUCUAGUCCAGAUAAUAAUAAUAACGGAGGUUCUNAUAAAGAGCAUUUCACAACUUCUCAAUGCGCUUUACAUUUAUGACCAGUGGAGGACUUUACGAGCAUGAGUGAGUUGUUANUUAGUAGAUUAGUAUUAUGCCUCCAAAUUGGGAUAGGAUGUUGAACUGGGUAAAAACACCUACUCUUUCAGCUUCUUUUAUGUGGAAUGAANAAAUGGACAUGGAAAAAAGGGUUGGAAGACAGGGGGGCCUANGGUCCGGUUUAAAGUCCCUCCAAGAAGACUUGAAGGUCUAACCAUUUGCAGAUGUAAUUACAAAGGCNGCACCUUCUCCUGAGUUCUUUUGGUCCAGCUGAGGCUUGAACUAUGGACUGACGCUCUUACCACUGAGCUAACCGGAUAAUAAUGAAGAUGCAAUAAGACUGCCUUAUUAAGUUUCCAUGUAUAUCCUGUUUUUAACAAGUAAACCAAUGCUGUCCAAUCUGCACCAAGCUACUGACGAAGAAAAGUGGAAUAAGUUCCACGGCCUUCAAUGAGCUCCUAUAUUCUACCACACAUGUACCACACUUCAAUCAAACAAACCUUCAAGCUGGCCAUGAAAAUUCCAAGAUACAAAGUACUCAGAAAUCUCAAAACUCCCAUGCUAAAUAAAAAUGUAUACAGGUGUUGCACACAAA